rnacentral:lncRNA from 1 species
UCACUAUAGUAUAAAUACGUCUAAAACUAACUAAUUCCUCCAACCAAAUGCAGAAUAAAUAAUCCUGAAGUUUUAUCCCGAAAUUAUUAUACCUUAUACCUCAUCCCAAACUAAUCCUUAUAGCUUUGGUUAAUAUGCAUGUUUGUGUUUGGGAGAUUUUGCACAAAUGAUUAUCCAAAUAAUAGUCAACAAACAUACAUUUUAUAUAUUGGCUAGCGAUUGUAAUUAUUUUUGCUGAGGAGCGGAGCCAAAUGUGUAAAAAAAAUCUUAUAUUUUCGCGCUACGUAUAAGUUGAGCAAUAGAGAUGGUAAAGCGACGUGACAAAUAUGGCAAUGUCACUCAUAAUAAAUCGAUAGGACUUCAGGUUAUAUUCAGCCUAGCUAUAUAUAUCGUAAAACUCACAAACUAUAUCAAAUAUGCAUAACUUGAAAAGGAUUAAUUUCCCAAAAUUCCCAUUCAAAAAGUUUUUUUUUUUUUGGUCGAGCUAUUUUUUAUGUUUUAAUAAAAAAAAAUGUUACAUAAACUGAAACGAAAACAAUAGACCUAUCUUUUCGAAAAAUUUAUUUGCAACAUGUACUAUGCAUAAAUGCCAUUUGGUGUAUAUAGCCCCAUGUGCAACCAUAUGAAUUACCUCAAUAUAUAAAUUGAAUACAAAAAAAAUUCAAAUUGACUUAUAUAAAUUAUCCCUAAUCAUGUUGCCCUAUAUUAAUUAUUAAUCACCCUUGUUCAUGUUGCUCUAUUUAGUUUCUCAUCCGAUGUUUGAUAUGCGUAUUGAGAUCCUGACAAAAUAUGUAUCUUCGCAUUUGGAAAGCUCAUUUCUGAGGGCGAGGCUCCCAACAUGAUAUUUCAAUCUCCAUUCUGAUCUGAUGGUCAAUAGGACGAUUUAACAAAUAACAAAUCAGCACUAUUGUAUGGAAAACAUGAAAAUACCAAAUGAAAUUUGAAAAGAAAAAAAAACAUUUUCAAUUAUAACUAAAAUAUAAAUUUGUAAAGUUAGAAAAAAAAGGGUUGUUGCUUUGGGGGGAUCAAACAUAUAAGUUCCAAGGUAUUCAGCGAAGCUUACUCAUAGAGGCAAAUCCAAGAUUUGAACUUUAUCUGAGUUACUCGGUUCGGAAUUUAAUAAUUUGAACAUAUAUCUAGUAGAUUUCUUAAUACAAAGCUAUCGAGUUUGACCGAACUCUAUAGCUUCUACUAUGCAUCCACUCUUGUCUGCUUAUUUUCAAAUUUGUUGAAGUCAAN